rnacentral:rRNA from 1 species
GCUGCGCGUGCUGGAAAGCGUGCCUCCCCGACUGUCUCACCAGGUGUGGUGGGGCUCCCGGAGCGUCGGCGCGGAAGGAUCUACCACAAACUCUUUCGUUUCCAUGUUUUUUUCUGUCUGAAAUGUCAUACAAAAUAAUUAAAACUUUCAACAACGGAUCUCUUGGUUCUCGCAUCGAUGAAGAACGCAGCGAAAUGCGAUAAGUAGUGUGAAUUGCAGAAUUCCGUGAAUCAUCGAAUCUUUGAACGCACAUUGCGCCUCCUGGUAUUCCGGGAGGCAUGCCUGUUCGAGCGUCAUUAAAAUCAAAUCAAGCAUCCGUGCUUGGUCAUGGAGGAAGAGUCCACCCUGUGGUCUCCCCACUGAAAUCGAAAGGCGGAAAGACUCCGGUACACGGUGUAGUACUAACGUUCGCUUCGUAUCUGGAGUCGUACCUGCCGGCAAACCCCCCACGAUUCUCC